GUGCUCGAUGGCCCAGUCGGAUAGAGCGUCUGCCUUUGGAGCAGGAAGUCCCGGGUUCGAAUCCCGGUCGGGGCA